rnacentral:rRNA from 1 species
UGAGUAACCUGCCCUUAACUCUGGGAUAAGCCUGGGAAACUGGGUCUAAUACCGGAUAUGACUCCUCAUCGCAUGGGUGGGGGGUGGAAAGCUUUAUUGUGGUUUUGGAUGGACUCGCGGCCUAUCAGCUUGUUGGUGAGGUAAUGGCUCACCAAGGCGACGACGGGUAGCCGGCCUGAGAGGGUGACCGGCCACACGUGGGACUGAGACACGGCCCAGACUCCGUACGGGAGCAG